rnacentral:rRNA from 1 species
GACGAACGCUGGCGGCGUGCUUAACACAUGCAAGUCGAACGAAAAUACCAAGCUUGCUUGGUUGAUUAGUGGCGAACGGGUGAGUAACACGUGAGUAACCUGCCCCUUACUUUCCUGGAUAACUGCUCGAAAGGGUAGCUAAUACGGGAUAUUCUGACCAGCCUGCAUGGGUUGGUUUGGAAAGGUUGUUUUUCUGGUAAGGGAUGGGCUCGCGGCCUAUCAGCUUGUUGGUGGGGUGAUGGCCUACCAAGGCUUUGACGGGUAGCCGGCCUGAGAGGGUGGACGGUCACACUGGGACUGAGAUACGGCCCAGACUCCUACGGGAGGCAGCAGUGGGGAAUAUUGCACAAUGGGCGCAAGCCUGAUGCAGCGACGCCGCGUGAGGGAUGAAGGCCUUCGGGUUGUAAACCUCUUUCGUCAGGCAACAAGGCACUGCUUUUUUGGUGGUGUUGAGGGUACCUGGAUAAGAAGCGCCGGCUAACUACGUG